AAAGCUUUAAGUUAAGAAAAACUAUUAACCUUCAAAGUUAAAUAUAUACAAAUAUUAUAAGCUUUA
rnacentral:tRNA from 1 species